GUCCAGACUUAAAAUAUAUCAUAUGCUCAAGCUACCAAUCCUUUGCCUGCAGAGCUUUGUUAAAAAACCAGACAUUUAACAAUUCCCUUUAUGACAUUGAUAGUGGAGGCUACAAAGCGAUGUCUGAAAGUAUCAAAACAGAAAUUGUUUCAGAAAUGCGCAUCAAAUUGAAAGAUGAUCAUUUUGAUAUUAUGGUGCUUGGAUUCAGAC